AUCAUCAUUACAGCUCGACAAUGACAAGUCAUGCCUCUAACAACAAGUAUCCUUGCCUCUCUACAAGCUACAAGGUCCACAUCUUACCAAACAGAAAAUAGGUAAAUCUUUAAUGUCCUUCAAAACAAAUCCAGGUCACUUCCUUACAAAUGAUAAAUGAGCAAACUUUGCUUUAUCACCAAUUUACAAGAGCAAAAACAG
rnacentral:misc_RNA from 1 species